CUUUAAGGUAGAUAGGGUGUCUUCCUCCAUCUUGGAUUUGGAAAUACCAGAAAACAAGGUCUAGAUCUUUAAUAGAAUGUGCAAAUUUUUAGAGUAGUAGGUAAUUCAUGUGUGAAAACUUUCAUUUCAAUAUAGAAAAUGACAUAUUUUAUCAUAUUUAUGGUUGUAUUUUACAAAAAACAGAAAACUUAUGUUUGAUUAAAUUUUUUCCAAUUUUGCCACAUAAGGGGAAGCAACUCAAAUGCAAGGGCAGAUAAUUCAGAUUAAGGUACUUUUACAAUAGAAUGUGUUAGGAAUUUACCUAUUUUAUAAUGUAGCAAGAAAACGGGUUCGGUGACCCCAUUUUUUCUUUUUCUUAACUGAAAGCAUACUAUUAAAGCUAUCUUCUCAUAUGUUAUUUUCAAAAUUCUAUGGUGUAGUUUACGC
rnacentral:lncRNA from 1 species